rnacentral:tRNA from 1 species
GGGCAAUUAGCUCAGUUGGAUAGAGCGUUGGCCUCCGGAGCCAAAGGCCGCAGGUUCGAUUCCUGCAUUGCCCGCCA